CUUGCUUCUCUUGAGAGCGGCGGACGGGUGAGUAAUGCCUAGGAAUCUGCCUAGUGGUGGGGGAUAACGUUCGGAAACGGACGCUAAUACCGCAUACGUCCUACGGGAGAAAGCGGGGGAUCUUCGGACCUCGCGCCAUUAGAUGAGCCUAGGUCGGAUUAGCUAGUUGGUGAGGUAAUGGCUCACCAAGGCGACGAUCCGUAACUGGUCUGAGAGGAUGAUCAGUCACACUGGAACUGAGACACGGUCCAGACUCCUACGGGAGGCAGCAGUGGGGAAUAUUGGACAAUGGGCGAAAGCCUGAUCCAGCCAUGCCGCGUGUGUGAAGAAGGUCUUCGGAUUGUAAAGCACUUUAAGUUGGGAGGAAGGGUAGUAACCUAAUACGUUGCUACUUUGACGUUACCGACAGAAUAAGCACCGGUUAACUUCGUGCCAGCAGCCGCGGUAAUACGAAGGGUGCAAGCGUUAAUCGGAAUUACUGGGCGUAAAGCGCGCGUAGGUGGUUCAGUAAGUUGGAAGUGAAAUCCCCGGGCUCAACCUGGGAACUGCUUUCAAAACUGCUGAGCUAGAGUACGGUAGAGGGUGGUGGAAUUUCCUGUGUAUCGGUGAAAUGCGUAGAUAUAGGAAGGAACACCAGUGGCGAAGGCGACCACCUGGACUGAUACUGACACUGAGGUGCGAAAGCGUGGGGAGCAAACAGGAUUAGAUACCCUGGUAGUCCACGCCGUAAACGAU
rnacentral:rRNA from 1 species